UCAAGUAACUAAAUUAAAUAUCUAUAAUUGUAUAAAAGUCUAGACAAUAAAAUUUGAGGAAUCCACAAUUCAGAAAGUCAUAUUUCUUAUGGUCAUCUCUAUUUACUUUUAUAUUUAAUGUAGCAAAAGAAAUCAGUCUCAGUAAAGAAUUAUGGGACAUCUAUGUGAGAACCACUGUUGAGUACGGAAUCCCAAGAGAAAAUAUACGAGAUAUCCUCAAAAUCAACACCUGUCCUCAAUGAAGAUACUGAUUUGGUUUCAAGAUUGAUAUGACUUGCAACAUAUCUGUCCAUGGCAUCUAAUUCACAAAUUUGAAGGUGGACCCAUCUUUCUUUCCCAAUUGUGCAUUCACCUCUCUCGUGUAGUUCAGAUUCUUCACACUGUUCUUUCCUCAAGUUUCUUUCCUUGCCCUGUUUAGUCGAAUUUUCUUUCUUUGUGAAUGAGUGAAUAAAUUUCAUCUUCUGCAUAAACUUUUAAAAAUUUUAAAAGUUUAUCUUAUUUGGAUCUUCAGUAUGGGACUCAUUUCUUUUAUGAAUAUGU